GCGGACGGGUGAGUAACACGUGGAUAACCUACCUAUAAGACUGGGAUAACUUCGGGAAACCGGAGCUAAUACCGGGUAAUAUAUUGAACCGCAUGGUUCAAUAGUGAAAGACGGUUUUGCUGUCACUUAUAGAUGGAUCCGCGCCGCAUUAGCUAGUUGGUAAGGUAACGGCUUACCAAGGCAACGAUGCGUAGCCGACCUGAGAGGGUGAUCGGCCACACUGGAACUGAGACACGGUCCAG
rnacentral:rRNA from 1 species